CCUACGGGAGGCUGCAGUGGGGAAUAUUGGACAAUGGGGGGAACCCUGAUCCAGCCAUGCCGCGUGUGUGAAGAAGGCCCUCGGGUUGUAAAGCACUUUCAGUGAGGAAGAACGCCUGGUGGUUAAUACCCAUCAGGAAAGACAUCACUCACAGAAGAAGCACCGGCUAACUCCGUGCCAGCAGCCGCGGUAAUACGGAGGGUGCGAGCGUUAAUCGGAAUUACUGGGCGUAAAGCGCGCGUAGGUGGCUUGAUAAGCCGGUUGUGAAAGCCCCGGGCUCAACCUGGGAACGGCAUCCGGAACUGUCAAGCUAGAGUGCAGAAGAGGAAGGUAGAAUUCCCGGUGUAGCGGUGAAAUGCGUAGAGAUCGGGAGGAAUACCAGUGGCGAAGGCGGCCUUCUGGACUGACACUGACGCUGAGGUGCGAAAGCGUGGGUAGCAAACAGGAUUAGAUACCCUAGUAGUC
rnacentral:rRNA from 1 species